UCGAGGUGCGGCUUCCGUUCCUCUUCGUCGCUCGUCGCUGAACCCCGACUAGCUGGCGGAGUCGGGAGCACACGGGUUCUGCGGAGGCGCGAGGACAUGGCCAACUCCUCCUCCGCAUCCUCACCCUUCGGAUUCGCCGCCGCCGCCGUCGCCCCCUUCCCCGACCAAGUCCUCCCUCGUGCCCAGGGCAUCAUCAGGUCAGAUUGUGUCUCUGUCGACUUGCACAAAAGGUCAGCCCCAUCAGCUUUGCGGUUGGUGUCCUGGUGGGCUUCACGCUGACGUUGCCAGUGGACUGCUAGGUUGCUCAAGAGAAACAAGGAUGAUAACUAGCUAGCUAAUGCAAUCUCUUAAGUAUUUUUCACAAGCGUGCUGUACUCUCUAGCCCCAAGUCGAACCUCCUUGAUUGCUUUGUACUCCUUUCGUUUCUAUAUAGGCCUUUUUAGAGAUUUUAAUACGGACUACAUACGGAUGUAUAUAGAUAUAUUUUAGAGUGUGGAUUCACUCAAUUUGCUCCGUAUGACUAUGUAGUCCGUGUUGGAAUCUUUAAAAGGACUUAUAUUUAGAAAUAGAGAGAGUAUUAACUGUGACCAAUUAAAGCCAUCGGUUUGUAAACUCUAUGGCAGAUCUCUUUUAGGUGAUCUGUACUGGUAAUUGUGAUAUGUGCCGAUUCUGCCGUACA